CAAAGAUGAAAAUCACUCUCGAGUUAAGGGACUGGCUGUUCCCUCUGGGCAUGCUGGGCAUUUACUCUGCAUUGGGCAUGGUGCCAGACAAGGGGCACAAAGCGGAGAGCCGGGGCCAGCUGCAUAGACAGACCUCACCUAGCGUGGGUUGGAAAGGCUUGCUUGGGGAGGGAACACGAAGGCUGAGCCCUGAAUUAUGCAACCUUCUGUGAAAAGACAAAAGUAACAAGCAUCCUAGGCAAGGGGAACAGAAAGGACAAAAGCCCAGAGGCAAGAAGGAGUGCGGAACCCUCCCGGGAGCUAGAGAAGGGCUGUGUGCUGGGACAGCAUGGAGCAGCAAGGCAGGGGACAGGAGCUGGGGCUGGGAGGGGGGCAAGUUCAGGCUGCACCCCAGCCCUGGUCACGGCCGUGGCUAUGAACCGGAAGAGCCAAAUGAAUAUUUACAGCCAGGGAUGCCAGGAUUUGUGAACGGAAAGCUCUCCUGGGCUAUGUUGAGAAGGGCGGCGGAAGAGGAGCAAGAAUGAAAGCACAGACCGUGCUGGGAAGGCGCUGCCAGGGCCCAGGCAGAAAGAUGGAAACUGACAAAAAUAUAAGGGAGCAGAGAGUGCACCAUUUUGAUCCAACCCAAAUGCCUAGAAGCAAGAUAUGAAGAAUGGCCAGGGCUCUGCAGGUCGGCCCGCUCAGCUGCUCAGCCAUGCCCCAGUUUCAGAUAACAGAGCCCAUAAGCUUGCCCAGCUGAGGCCGAUCACCUCCUCCCUGGACCCCACAGCAAUCACAUGGUGUGGCUGUCCCUGUCAACGUCUGAGAACCCAAAGCUCCGAAAGGCUUUGGACUUACCAGGUGGGCCUCUUGCUGAAUCUCAAAGUGUCCUUGGCCCUGGAUGGGGAUCAUCCCCCCAGGACCCCCGGGCUGCCUGCAACACUCUUGUCCCAACAGUCUGGACAGCAGGUGUCUGGCUCCUGCAGUGGGAGUUGGAGUCAGUAUGAUCUUCCUUUGAGCGGGGACAUUUUCAGGAAGGCCCUGAGCUAGGUGAAUGAGGGCCGUGUGUGGCCUGCGCAUAGCGUCCCAGGUCCCCUCUCUGCCACCAUCUUAGAGGAAGGGCUCUGAAGCCGGGGGUCGUUGGCCAACGAAGGAUGGAAAAGCCCAUUGUGAAAAUGGCAGCCCUCAUGCAGAGUGGGGGCUGGGGAGGGGGUGUUUCCUGGUGAACUUGUAAGAAUUCUGAAA
rnacentral:lncRNA from 1 species